GUGGGGAAUAUUCCGCAAUGGACGAAAGUCUGACGGAGCAACGCCGCGUGAGUGAUGAAGGUUUUCGGACUGUAAAGCUCUGUUGUUUAGGACGAAAGUGCCUGUUGCAAACAGUUACAGGUAUUGACGGUACUAAACGAGGAAGCCACGGCUAACUACGUGCCAGCAGCCGCGGUAAUACGUAGGUGGCAAGCGUUGUCCGGAAUUAUUGGGCGUAAAGAGCAUGUAGGCGGGAAUCUAAGUCUGUUGUUAAAAUGCGGGGCUCAACCCCGUAUUGCGAUGGAAACUGGGUUUCUGGAGUGCAGGAGAGGAAAGGGGAAUUCCCAGUGUAGCGGUGAAAUGCGUAGAUAUUGGGAGGAACACCAGUGGCGAAGGCGCCUUUCUGGACUGUGUCUGACGCUGAGAUGCGAAAGCCAGGGUAGCGAACGGGAUUAGAUACCCGGGUAGUCC
rnacentral:rRNA from 1 species